AGCAUCUUAAUUCAGGGGUAGAAUGCAAGGCCCAUAACCUUGAGGUCGUAGGAUCGAAACCUACAGAUGCUA
rfam:Dictyostelium purpureum unplaced genomic scaffold DICPTscaffold_97, whole genome shotgun sequence.